GACGAACGCUGGCGGCGUGCCUAAUACAUGCAAGUUGAGCGCUGAAGGUUGGUACUUGUACCAACUGGAUGAGCAGCGGACGGGUGAGUAACGCGUGGGGAAUCUGCCUUUGAGCGGGGGACAACAUUUGGAAACGAAUGCUAAUACCGCAUAAAAACUUUAAACACAAGUUUUAAGUUUGAAAGAUGCAAUUGCAUCACUCAAAGAUGAUCCCGCGUUGUAUUAGCUAGUUGGUGAGGUAAAGGCUCACCAAGGCGAUGAUACAUAGCCGACCUGAGAGGGUGAUCGGCCACAUUGGGACUGAGACACGGCCCAAACUCCUACGGGAGGCAGCAGUAGGGAAUCUUCGGCAAUGGACGAAAGUCUGACCGAGCAACGCCGCGUGAGUGAAGAAGGUUUUCGGAUCGUAAAACUCGGUUGGUAGAGAAGAACGUUGGUGAGAGUGGAAAGCUCAUCAAGUGACGGUAACUACCCAGAAAGGGACGGCUAACUACGUG
rnacentral:rRNA from 1 species